AGCGAACUGAUUAGAAGCUUGCUUCUAUGACGUUAGCGGCGGACGGGUGAGUAACACGUGGGCAACCUGCCUGUAAGACUGGGAUAACUUCGGGAAACCGAAGCUAAUACCGGAUAGGAUCUUCUCCUUCAUGGGAGAUGAUUGAAAGAUGGUUUCGGCUAUCACUUACAGAUGGGCCCGCGGUGCAUUAGCUAGUUGGUGAGGUAACGGCUCACCAAGGCAACGAUGCAUAGCCGACCUGAGAGGGUGAUCGGCCACACUGGGACUGAGACACGGCCCAGACUCCUACGGGAGGCAGCAGUAGGGAAUCUUCCGCAAUGGACGAAAGUCUGACGGAGCAACGCCGCGUGAGUGAUGAAGGCUUUCGGGUCGUAAAACUCUGUUGUUAGGGAAGAACAAGUACGAGAGUAACUGCUCGUACCUUGACGGUACCUAACCAGAAAGCCACGGCUAACUACGUGCCAGCAGCCGCGGUAAUACGUAUGUGGCAAGCGUUAUCCGGAAUUAUUGGGCGUAAAGCGCGCGCAGGCGGUUUCUUAAGUCUGAUGU
rnacentral:rRNA from 1 species